rnacentral:rRNA from 1 species
CCUACGGGUGGCAGCAGUGAGGAAUAUUGGUCAAUGGACGCAAGUCUGAACCAGCCAUGCCGCGUGCAGGAAGACGGCUCUAUGAGUUGUAAACUGCUUUUGUACGAGGGUAAACGCAGAUACGCGUAUCUGUCUGAAAGUAUCGUACGAAUAAGGAUCGGCUAACUCCGUGCCAGCAGCCGCGGUAAUACGGAGGAUUCAAGCGUUAUCCGGAUUUAUUGGGUUUAAAGGGUGCGUAGGCGGUCUGAUAAGUUAGAGGUGAAAUCCCGAGGCUCAACUUCGGAAUUGCCUUUGAUACUGUUCGGCGAGAGAGUAGUUGCGGUAGGCGGAAUGUAUGGUGUAGCGGUGAAAUGCUUAGAGAUCAUACAGAACACCGAUUGCGAAGGCAGCUUACCAAGCUACUUCUGACGUUGAGGCACGAAAGCGUGGGGAGCAAACAGGAUUAGAUACCCCGGUAGUC